rnacentral:ncRNA from 1 species
CAGAGUGUUGAUAGCUUCGGUUCCGGCGGGUGACUGCCGGGCAAAAGGGAACGCGGUGCGGGCUUUGGCCUUAUUCCGUGACUGCCCCCGCAACUGUAAGCGGCGAGCGACGGCUGAGCGCGCCACUGGACGUAACGUCUGGGAAGGCAGGCCCGAGCUACGACCCGCGAAGUCAGGAGACCUGCCGAGGCGUUCACCCAGUU